UUUUUUUUUUGGUUAAACCCACACUUAGAACUUAGAAGUCUCUAUGUUGGAACAUUUUCACGGGCAUAGACCAUGUCCACAAGGAAAGUUUCCACAUAUCUCUAUGACUCUACCAACGAUGAUAAAGCAGGAAUGCAGGAACACAAGGUACAUAUAGUAACCACUUGCUAAUGUAACAUAAAGUUCCAUAAAAAAAAUGUGUUACAUAGCAUUGUGCUAGUACAUAUGAGAUCAGAACAAUGUAGUCGCAGUAAUGUUUGACCACAUACUUCAAGUGCCAAAAAAUACCAUGAAAAAGAAAGGGUGGUACUGCCAGUAAGCUUACUAUUGACUGCAUAGGCUUCCCUUGUUUGCCCUCUUCGUAUGCUUUAGCUCUCAGCUCCUCGUAGCUAAUAUCCCCCGUAAUGUCACAAGGACCACUGUGUGUAAACAAAGCCAAAUAUUAAGCCAUCUACAUGGCCUAGCUAGGGCAGCUGCUGAAGCGGAAUUCAGCAUAAGAUGUGAUUUACCUUCUGAGAUGAGCAUAACAAGUAAGCUUCCACAGGGGAGCCUCAUUCUUGAAAUCAUCAGAUAUCUGUUGCCUGCAGGACUCGGGGUCUGCACAGGAUCUGGGAGAAGAACUUGCGACGUUAGUGACUCGCCCGUAACCAAGUCAAGGAAGAUCAAAAGUAUUAUAGCACCAUGGCAUCGCGACUCACGUGUGGGCCGCCUGCGGUGCUGGCUGCGCCUCCGCUUGCUUUGUCGGCGGCGCCGAGGGAUCCCUCACCCACUUAUUUUGAAAAGGCUGACAAAACAAUUCACUAGUCAUACAUAUCUAUCCAUAUAGACCACAUAAUUUUGCAAUUGAUGAAAAUGUCGUACAGAGGAAGAUCUCUUCCCCAUUACAGUAUACUAACCUUUGCCGGGCCAGGCUCGUUCCGCUGCUGGGCGGCACCGCCUUGCACUCCGAACCCGAACGGGUUGGGCUUCUGCUGCUGCUGCUGCUGCUGCUGGGACUGCGCACCGAACGACUGCUGCUGCGGCUGCUGCCUGCCCCCGGCGCCGAACCCGAAGGGGUUGGGCUUCGCCUGCUGCUGCUGCUGUUGGUUGGAGUUGGAGUGCACGAACCUGCACUGCGCCCCGUACUUGCAGCUGCGCGCAGCAUCCAGAACCAGCAUUACAUACAAAUCCACGGCGCGCGCGCGCGGCGGGGUCAGGGCAAGGGCAACCAACCAAUCGGAAUCGGUGGCCGCGGCGGAAUUAGAGCGGGGACGGAUCGGGGUACCUGCCGCGCUGGUAGUUCCUGCAGAGCUCCGGCCGCCGGUUCAUCGCCGCCGAAGGGGGGCGAUCCGGGGACGGCGCUUGGCCGGCGCGAGUCGUGCCUAAGGUUUAGGGUGGGGGGCUCGCUGUUGCUCCGAAGGACCCCCUUCCCCGCCGCCAGAAACGGCCUACUUCACUCUGCCGACGGAUCAGCGUAGCGUGGACGCGACGCGGCGCGAGGCGGCGGGGCAGUCCUUGGCUGUCAGUCGGUGGGAUUCGGGGAGAAGCCGCGGCGGGCGCGGAGUCCGGUCGGCGCAAGAGCGGCGCAGAGCCAACCAACGGGCGGUAAUCGCUGGGCCGCGGGACGCAGGGCUAGGCCCAUGCGACGUGGGCCGUGUCCCCUUCCGCGUUUUCCUCUCAGGUGGCUGGUGGGCUAACCCUCAAAAGAAAAGGUGGCUGGUGGGCUUCCACCGUCCCGUACUACGGGCAACAACGGCAAGGCGCGCCCUUAACCACACACAGGGCAGCGAGGCUGAGUGGCUGACCAGAGCGGAGCAGAGACCACGAACGAGACGCGGCCGGCCACGGCGCUGGUGUCCUCGUCCGCCGUCGCUGUGCCGCGCGGGGAUGGCGGGGCAGGCGCCGGCCGUGGUGGCGUUCGCUCUGGCGGCCGCCAUCCUGUCGACGCCGCCUCCGCAGUCGGAGAACUUCUCCAACAUCCCGCCCACGCUCUCCGGUACGUCCCCGUUCAUCCGCAGGAGAGAGCAGCGCCACCACGGAUGGCAUGCGCACAGGCACAGGCACAGCACAGGUAUCAGUUAACUGAUGAUGGAGGUGGGGAUGCAGGGGACGACAAGGCGCAGGUGAGGAUCAAGCACCCCAAGUCGGCCAAGGCGCUGCAGUGCACCUCCAAGUGCGUGGCCACCUGCAUCCGCGGCGGCGAGGGGCCCAUCAACGUCCGGAGGCCCCUCGUCGUCUUCAAGGAGGGGCAGUUCCGCAGCCGCCUCUACUGGUAAUUACUCUACUAAUUAGCCGCCCUGCCUGCCUGUUAGUACUGCUGGGGCCAGGCCACUGACGAGUUAACCAUACGUGCUUAAUUCCGUGCAGCCUGACAGAGUGCUCGGACAUCUGCAACCUCAUCAAGGACGGCGAGGACGGGCCAUGAGACGAUCAGACGAGCGAAGCUCUUGCCCAGGAGGAACGACAAGCACAUUCAGGGCCAUUCCGGGACUGCAUUUCUCACAAGGAACCGCGCGAAUCACGACGGAAAUUCCGAAAGGAACCACGGCGGUCAUGCGGUGAAGAGAUCAUGCUAGGGAGGGAGGGAGCAUCGCCAUGGAAUUUCUGUACUUUCUACCGCUUGCUUAUAGCUGUACAUGACACAGCAGGCAGAGCAAUACAUUUUUGGCAUUGUCAGGACCAUGAGCAACAGAGAUACAACAUGAAUGAAUGAAUGAAUGCCUUCAACUCAUAACUUGAAUUUUAUUCUGCAACAUAUACAGCCAUGCUGAACUCACUGAUCCAGUGUCGAAACAAACCUGCUGAACUCACUGCACUUGCAAUCCUUUCUGACCCGCGCACUUGCUGAAACAGCUAGGUUCAACUGUCAACAAUCUAGGUUUCCUUUCUUGCUUAUAAAUUGUAGUACUACUCCCUCCUUUCCGGUUUAUAGGGCUUACUCCCUACAUAAAAUUGUAGUAUCUCAAAAUUUUAGUUUUUCCAUUUUAUAAGGUUCAAUUUGAUUGUUCCCCAUUACAUGUUCAGACUUCAAGGUGCAUUAAAUCAUUGCAUGCAAGUAUUAAGAGAAAACUGACCAAUGCAUGCACUUUAUGCAUGCAUGCAUUGCAAUUAAUGCAUUCGUAAACAUAUUUUUUUGAGGAAAACAAGAGCAUUAAUUGGGUGCUUUUGCAAACUAUAAAAAAUAUUCCACCACUCAUCAUCUACCUUGGUUGGUGAGAUUUUUGAAUUGAGCCUUAGGGCAUCUCCAACAGUUGUGAGAUGGGUGUUGGUAAAUUUGCCACUUAGGACAUAAUGAUGAUGUGGCAUGUAUUAAAUAUGGAGAGAGAGCAAAGUUGUAUGUACAUUAACCAACAACCUUUGCACAAGCUCCAAGGUGAAAUAAAGAGCAAUCAUAUUUAUUGUCUCACAAUCUAUUGGAUAGCUUACAUACAACCUAUUGAAGUAGUUGUAUGAUAACUUGUUGGUUGAUGACAUGGACAUUUUACCAACAAGACUAACAUACAACCUGUUGGAGAUGCCCUUAUAAACCGGAAAGGAGGGAGUACAUGAUAAUGCCGCAGACCAGAGCUGCAGGCUACAUUAUACUCCCUCCGUCCCAUAAUAUUGACACUAGUGCAGUGUCAAAAACACUAUUAUAUUAUGGGGCGGAGGGAGUACAUGUUGUCAGUAGACUCACAACAACUUCAUAACGAUCGCCUUCAUUUUAUUUGCUAGCUAGUUAGAAAUCAACCACUAUCAUAUACAACAUUUUGCCCUGAAUUCGACAAGAAGUCGAGGCAAACUAGCCAAUUAAUCCAGCUGACGUGCUCAAGAUUUAUCUGACAUCUUGAGGAGGAUACCAGUCUUUUAAUCCAGCCGGCCGUUGCACAUUGGUUCAGUGCUGAAACAAACCGGAUGAUCACUGGAUGUGCACCUGUGUGAUCCGAGACCUGGUCGACCACUUGCCGAAACGGCUCGGUUCGACUGCCGACAAUAUAGGGCUUCCUUGCACCUCUGACCUGAUGAUUCAACUGUUACAAUAAACAGAUAUUCAGUACAUGGAAAGACACACAUAUAUUCGCUGUUGCAGAAGUACUCAGAAUGCAAUUUUUUAUUGUUGGACACUAUUUUAGCUUACCAGUCAGUUCACUGAUCCCAUAUCAGGCAGGAAAAGGUAUCGAAAUCGGGAGUCGAACGGGAUGAUGCCGAAAGUCCGGGUGCCCAGGAGGCUUUGCCGCCUCUGAGACACGCAGUGCUCGACGAAUGUAGCUUGCUGCUGAGGCAGGAAAUGCGAUAUCCAGAUAGGGAAGCUGUUGUCGUCGACGAACCCUCGCGCGAAACAGUGCAGCAUUUUGGGGAUCAGAAGCUUCCCCUUCCGGCUCACUCCCACCGAUGCUCUGAUGAAAUCACGCUGCGCAUCCUGCAGCUCUUCCCUUACGUUGCUGGCUGUGUAUAUCUUCACCUGCAAUGAUAAACAAUCGUCAGUUAAGUAUAAAAACGUUGCAAAAUGAUGGUGCUGCAUUUCAUAUCAAAAGCCAUAAAAUGAGUGAUCUAAACUUACUGCAGGCGAAGAAUACAUUCCACAGCUGAGGGCAAAUGUCAGAAGUGGUUCAGGUGUUGAAAUGCAGAACUUUCUCUGGUCCUCAGGUGACUUUAUCUUCUGAAGGGCAAGAAGCAGAGCCUUAAGCAAAACAAAGAAACUGUUAUCAGUUUGCAUUCAUGAACAAACAAGCAGGUUUGUCAUCAAGAUGCACUGCAGCUCACAUACCAUCUGUGGCCUGUGAUUCGGCGGCUUCAUCUUCAAAAUAACAUAUUCGAUGAAUGCCGCACUGAAUGAAUUCCCUCCAAUUGUGUAGGCAGCCUGGAAUAAAAAUAAUAGCAACAGUGUUAGACAUGAAUCAUCACAUGAGUACAGAAAAACGAAAAUCAGUUAACGAGCACAAAUCAAGUUUUGAAGCAAACCUUUUGCAUCAGUGAAAACAGUUUCAUGUCACUUCGUGGAACACCGUAGGCAAGAUAAGCCUGUAAAGGGAUAAAGCACCAUCAAGUCUCGCGUCAACUAUCAACCAAGUCUAUCUCCAUAACCAGAAAGGCUACACAACUAAAGCGAGUCUGUCAAUUCACCAUACGUGCAUCAACAAGGCGUUGUACAGAUUGAUCCAAAACGCCAAUCUCGCGUCGUCGCUGAGAUGAACAGGGUUUACUUCUGCCAGCUGUUCAAUCAGCAACCUGCACUCCAAUUAGCAUCCAUCAGUACGGAUUAGUGAAUUUUAAAUCAAAACCAAAGCAUCAAGACAUGCUAAGAACACUGCCCAUCUUUUUGGUAUUCAGACUUGCAACUAAAAUUGUGAUUUCUUGGGGUACACAAAGUGUAAUGCUGUCUUGUUUGGUAAGUCAGCAGACUAAUAGCAUCCGUAAUUUCAAACUUUGUCUUGUGCGGUAUUCAAACUUGGAACUAAAAAUGUAAUUUCUUGGGCUAGACAAAGUGUGAUGUUGUCUUGUUUGGUACACUGAAUGGUAACUGCUACUCAUAGCCAGUGGACUCUGAAUAUAAGUAGCAUGGAUUGGUUGACACCAUACCUGAACUUCCGAAGCGACUCCGCGGCAUACUCGAGCUGCUUCUUCCCGGCGGACAUCCACGAGACCUCCGACGCGGCGCCGUAGCCCCCGAUGUCGGCCCAGCUGAGCUUCUCCCGGGCCUUGUACGGGUCGAAGACGGUCUCGGAGGCCAGCAGGUGGUUGUUCUGGUUGAGGUCGACCUGGGGGCUCUGCACCCAGGAGGAGAUGGAGGAUGGCUCGGACAGCGACCAGAAGGCGGCGAUCCCGCUGGGCGACGGGCCGGCGCGCUGGCCCUCCCCGGCGGCGGAGGGGUUGCUGGCCCUGGAGGCCUCCCGGCAGGAGUCGGAGAGCGAGAUGAAGAUGUUCCUCAUGCACCGCACGAUGUCCUCCGACAGGUGGUUCGGGUUCGCGCCGCCGCCGAGGGCCUUGAUGGAGAACUGCCGAUGCAGCUUCGGGGGCGCGGCCUUCUCCGCUCUGGUGGAGUUGCUGGUGUCGCUCGCCGUGUCCUGGUACGGAGAGAGCGCCAUGGAUGGAUUCAGAUACGGAGGUAGAAAGAAUGUGGUGGUGAGGAGAGGGGGGAGGCCGGCGGGCGGGCGUACGUCGGAUUCGGACUCGGGUCUGGCGGCGGGGCGGUGGGAGCAGAGGGGGAGCGGCCGCUGCUUGGCGUUGGCGCGGUACUCGACGAGGCGCCGCUCGUUGCGCUCCUGGAUGAGCUGGAAGUGGAGGGCGACCAUCUCCUCCUCCAGCUUGGAGACGGCCGCCUCCAUGGCGGAGAUGUUGGAGAGCAGCUCCUGGGCCUGGAGCAAUGGCAAGCGCAUCCAUACAUGCUCUGGUUAGGUCGUGGCCAAGGAUGGCAGAGAGAGAAUGGCGGCGGCGGCGCGCUUACGUGGGUGGGGAGGUAGGACAUGUCGGCGAGGGUGACGGCGGCGUGGUCGAGCGCGUUGUCGAGGAUGGCGUGCAGCGCCGUCUCCUCCCGCAGCACCUCCUGCAGCCUGAGCACCUCCUGCUCCAGCUGCGACCUGAAGCCCUUCCUCCUGGCCUUGCUCCGCGGCAACGGCAUGGCUUCCCGCUCCGCCGGGGACUCCGCUGUUAUUGGCCAAGGACGAUCGAAGCGGCGCACGUAUCGCUGAUGACUCCUCCGGAACGACGACGUUCGUGGUAGUUAAUGGCGAUGAACUGAAGCGUGCGGAGCGGAGGCGGGCGGGCGUAUUUGCUGGGGCGGAGCCGGGGAACGAGGAGACCGGCGCGACUGCGACUGCAGCAGCGAGUAUUAACUGAGGAGGAGGCAAGGAGGAGAAGGAGAGGCGUGCACACUUCAAAAUUUGAAAUGCGCCUAGCUACUAGUCUCCGACGCGUCGCUAGUGCCGUCCGCGUGGAGGGAGUGGGUGGCCAACUCGCGACCCGAGGCCGAGGGGGAGGCGCGACAACAGGAGCCACCUCGCUGCUGGGCUGGCCCGACUGCCAGACCAGACCUCACCUGGUACUCGGCCGCUUGCUUGGGUGUGGGUGCGAGAGGCAAGGCGGCGUGAUCCGCGGACCUGCGCGCCAGCAGCGUCCCCAGCCGAGGCUACCGGGGUUCAGUUCGAGGCGGGCCAGCGCUGGCCGCCGAGCCCAAGGCGACGCGGAGGCUUUGUCCGGCGCGGUUGUUCCCUUGCCCAUCCACGCUUUUGUUCUCUUCUUUUACGGGGGCGCAUUGCAUUGUUUAUCGUUACCGCGGCUGGUGGAGCGGUGGUCGCGCCCAGCUUUCGUGUCGCCCCGCACGCCGCCCCACGCCCACGGCCAGGCGGAUGCGAUGCGGAGACCGAUGAUCCCGAUCCGUCCGUCGCUCUGACUGUCCGUCACACCACCCACACACGGAUCCACAUACUACUACCUCACCCUACCCUACCAGUUCAAAACUUUUUUUUUGCAAUCUUUUUUUUUUUGCAAUCUACCAGUUCAAAACUUCAAAAACUUGAACCGUCGCUUGCCCGGCCCGGCCCGGCCCGGCCUCCAUCAACAAAAACAAAUGUGAAAAGACAAAAAAAAUCCUGAACGCCGCUAGCCCGCUACGUACCGCUGCUGCCGGCGGCGACACGCGGAAACCGGCCAGACCAUGGAGCACGACCGAGCCAUGGCAAUGAAAUGAAUACCGGAGACCAGAUGCACCUACUCCACUAGCCGCUGUAGUAGGAGUACUGCGUCCUGAUAAGUGUCGUCAAUGCCCCCCAGCUCGGUUGCUUCAUUCAAUCGCUGCUGGUGAUGGAAGGGAAGGUGGUUCAAUGCGACCGACUGGAGGGAGGGAUGGAUGGUGACAGUUUACACUGGCCCCGCAGUAAAGACAGCAUGUGGGGCAGUGGCUGUGGGUGCGUGCUGCUUGCCCAGAAAGCAGCACCAAUGAAUGGUCAAUGAAGACGACCGCUCUGUCCCAUGAAUCAACAAUACUCCUACUACAGCGCAAUGUCGAAAAAGUGCAAUGUCGAAAGCGCGCCACUUUCUCUGACAAUCCGACUACGGCCAUCUCUAACAAGUUGUAUGUUAGUCUUGUUGGUAGAAUGUCCAUGUCAUCAACCAAUAAGCUAUCAUACAACUACUUCAAUGGAUUGUAUGUAAGUUAUUCAAUAGAUGGUAAAAAAAUAAAUGUGAUUGCUCUCUAUUUCACCUAGGAGCUUGUGCAAAGGUUGUUGGUUAAACUAAACGCGUAACUUCGCGGCUGUUCGGCCCUUGCUGCAUCAAACAGUCGAGGAAGACCAUAGCCUCGUUGUUUCUCAUUCUACCAACCGGUUUUUAGACAUAUUCAUAUUACUCUUGAAGAUUUUUUUCAAAUAUAUAUAUAUAUAUAUAUAAUCUUUUUAAAAUGCAAACAACUUUCAAAUUCUGGUAAUCUUUUCAAAAGCGUGAAAUACCCAAGAUUUUUCAAAACUUGCAUGUUUUUCAAAAAUUCUGAUUUUUUUUAAAACCGAAACAUUUACUGAAUUUAUUAAAAAAAUGGAGGGCCAUUUUUUGAGUUCCCAAACAUCUGUUUUAAAUUUGUGACCAAAUUAUGAAAACAGGAAUAAUUUGUAUAUUCCGACAAAUAUUUGAAAACACAAAUAUUUCAAAAACAAUCCAAACUAUCUUCAGCUUUGCAAACAUUUUCUAAAAAGUACACUUAUUCAAAAAGAAAAGAUAAAAAAACUGGUAACAGGGCUGGCCAUUAAGUGUGGCGCAAGCAAGCAGGCAGAGCGCUUGCCGCCCGUGUCUACGUGUGGUUAACCGAGGGUUUUCGUUUCUUUUUUCCCUUAUUAUAUUUUGUUACAUUUUAUUUUAACAGAAUAUCUUUAAAAAUAGAAAUGUUCAUCGGAUAUUAAAAAAAUAUUUUACAAUUAUAUAUUAAUUGAUAAAUCAUUCACAAAAUUUUGUAAAAAUGUGAAGUAAACUUAAAAAGUGUUUACAUAUUUUAAAAAUAUUAUCGCAUUUUAGUUUUUUCUGUGAUUUAAAAUGUGUUAAAGUGUUUCAUAAAGUGUUAAUGCAUUUUGAAAAAAAAUGUACAACUUAAAAUGUGUUCCCACAAAUACUUGCAAUUUAAAACAAAAACUGACAAUUAAAAAAAUGACCGCAUAUUUUGAAAAUAUUUUAACACAAUUAAAAAAGAGUAUUAAAACUGUUUGCACAUUUUGAAAAACAUUCACGUAACUAAAAAAUAUUCAAGUGUUUUAAAAAUACAUCCAUUUUGAAAUGUAUUCCAGAUUUUCGCCCACCAUGCAACUCAUCAUCUUCAACACUGCCAGCAUCCCCAUCGAAAUUUGUGCCUUUUGGCUAAUAACCUCAUAUCCCAAGCUUCUUGUGUGAGAUCCCACCAUGUGUUGUCGCUUUAGGUACACUUUUGACGUAUCCAUAAUUUUUAUUGUUUAAUGUCAUUAUAUUACAACUUUUACAUAUUUUUUGCAACAAAUUAUAUUAUUUUGGGGAUUAACAUAUUAAUCUACUGCCCAGUAUCAGCUCCAGUUUUUUGAAUGCAUUUUUUGUGUUUCGCAAAAUAUCCAUAUCAAAUGAAGUCCAAACACGAUAAAAUUUUACGGAGAUUUUUAAUUGAAUAUACGAUUUUUUGCAAGAAUUAAUGUCAAGGGGGGCCAACGGCUUCACAAGCUCACAGGGCGCCCUCCCCCUCCUUGGGGCGUGCCUGGUGAGUGGCUCCCUCGAAGUCAAUUGGAGCUAUCCUUCAGCCGUAAGGAAGGUUAUAUCCAGAAAAAAUCGUGUUAAAUUGAUUAUUAUUAUAUUUCCUUGUUCAUGAUAAUCGUUUAUUAUCCAUGCUAUAAUUGUAUUGAUAGGAAACUCAGAUACAUGUGUGGAUACAUAGACAACACCAUGUCCCUAGUAAGCCUCUAGUUGACUAGCUCGUUGAUCAAUAGAUGGUUACGGUUUCCUGACCAUGGACAUUGGAUGUCAUUGAUAACGGGAUCACAUCAUUAGGAGAAUGAUGUGAUGGACAAGACCCAAUCCUAAGCCUAGCACAAGAUCAUGUAGUUCGUAUGCUAAAGCUUUUCUAAUGUGAAGUAUCAUUUCCUUAGACCAUGAGAUUGUGCAACUCCCAGAUACCGUAGGAGUACUUUGGGUGUGCCAAAUGUCACAACGUAACUGGGUGGCUAUAAAAGUACACUACGGGUAUCUCCGAAGGUGUCUGUUGGGUUGGCACGAAUCGAGACUGGGAUUUGUCACUCCGUGUGACGGAGAGGUAUCUCUGGGCCCACUCGGUAGGACAUCAUCAUAAUGUGCACAAUGUGAUCAAGGAGUUGAUCACGGGAUGAUGUGUUACGGAACGAGUAAAAGAGACUUACUAGUAACGAGAUUGAACAAGGUAUCGGGAUACCGACAAUCGAAUCUCGGGCAAGUAUCGUACUGCUAGACAAAGGGAAUUGUAUACAGGAUUGAUUAAGUCCUUGACAUCGUGGUUCAUCCGAUGAGAUCAUCGUGGAACAUGUGGGAGCCAACAUGGGUAUCCAGAUCCCGCUGUUGGUUAUUGGCCGGAGAGUCAUCUCGGUCAUGUCUACGUGUCUCCCGAACCCGUAGGGUCUACACACUUAAGGUUCGGUGACGCUAGGGUUAUAGAGAUAUUAGUAUGCGGUAACCCGAAAGUUGUUCGGAGUCCCGGAUGAGAUCCCGGACGUCAUGAGGAGUUCCGGAAUGGUCCGGAGGUAAAGAACUAUAUAUAGGAAGUGCUAUUUCGGCUAUCAAGACAAGUUUCAGGGUCACCGGUAUUGUACCGGGACCACCGAAAGGGUCCCGGGGGUCCACCAGGUGGGGCCACCUGCCCCGGGGGGCCACAUGGGCUGUAGGGGGUGCGCCUUGGCCUAUAUAGGCCAAGGGCACCAGCCCCUAGAGGCCCAUGCGCCAAAGGGACAAGAGGAGGGGAGAGUCCUAAAGGGGGAAGGCACCUCCGAGGUGCCUUGGGGAGGAUGGACUCCUCCCCCCCUUGGCCGCACCCUUCCUUGGAGGAAGGGGCAAGGCUGUGCCCUCCCCCUCUCCCUUGGCCCUAUAGUGGGGGGGAGGGAGGGCAACCAAACCUAAGCCCUGGCGCCUCCCUCUCCCUCCCAUGACACAUCUCCCUCCUCCCACAGCGCUUGGCGAAGCCCUGUUGGAAUCCCGCUACUUCCACCAUCACGCCGUCGUGCUGUUGGAUCUCCAUCAACCUCUCCUCCCCCCUUGCUGGAUCAAGAAGGAGGAGACGUUGCUGCUUCGUACGUGUGUUGAACGCGGAGGUGCCAUCCGUUCGGCGCUAGGAUCAUCCAUGAUUUGGAUCACGACGAGUACGACUCCAUCAACCCCGUUCUCUUGAACGCUUCCGCGCGCGAUCUACAAGGGUAUGUAGAUCCACUCCUCCCUCGUUGCUAGAUGACUCCAUAGAUUGAUCUUGGUGACACGUAGGAAAAUUUUGAAUUAUUGCUACGUUACCCAAUGGUGGCAUCAUGAGCUAGGUCUAUGCUUAGUUUCUAUGCACGAGUGGAACACGAAGUAGUUGUGGGCGUUGAUAUUGUUCAAUAUGCUUACCGUUACUAGUCCAAUCUUGAUUCGGUGGCAUUGUGGGAUGAAGCGGCCUGGACCGACCUUACACGUACUCUUACGUGAGACUGGUUCCACCGACUGACAUGCACUAGUUGCAUAAGGUGGCUAGCGGGUGUCUGUCUCUCCCACUUUAGUCGGAUCGGAUUCGAUGAAAAGGGUCCUUAUGAAGGGUAAAUAGCAAUUGGCAUAUCACGUUGUGGUUUUUGCGUAGGUAAGAAACGUUCUUGCUAGAAACCCGUAGCAGCCACGUAAAACAUGCAAACAACAAUUAAAGGACGUCUAACUUGUUUUUGCAGGGUAUGCUAUGUGAUGUGAUAUGGCCAAAGGAUGUGAUGAAUGAUAUAUGUGAUGUAUGAGAUGAUCAUGUUCUUGUAAUAGGAAUCACGACUUGCAUGUCGAUGAGUAUGACAACCGGCAGGAGCCAUAGGAGUUGUCUUUAAUUUAUUUAUGACCUGCGUGUCAACAUAAACGUCAUGUAAUUACUUUACUUUAUUGCUAACCGUUAGCCAUGGUAGUAGGAGUAAUAGUUGGCGAGACAACUUCAUGAAGACACGAUAAUGGAGAUCAUGAUGAUGGAGAUCAUGGUGUCAUGCCAGUGACGAUGAUGAUCAUGGAGCCCCGAAGAUGGAGAUCAAAAGGAGCAAUAUGAUAUUGGCCAUAUCAUGUCACUAUUUGAUUGCAUGUGAUGUUUAUCAUGUUUAUACAUCUUAUUUGCUUAGAACGACGAUAGUAAAUAAGAUGGUCCCUCACUAAAAUUUCAAGAAGGUGUUCCCCCUAACUGUGCACCGUUGCGAAAGUUCGUCGUUUCGAAGCACCACGUGAUGAUCGGGUGUGAUAGAUUCUUACGUUCACAUACAACGGGUGUAAGACAGAUUUACACACGCGAAACACUUAGGUUGACUUGACGAGCCUAGCAUGUACAGACAUGGCCUCGGAACACAAGAGACCGAAAGGUCGAGCAUGAGUCGUAUAGAAGAUACGAUCAACAUGAAGAUGUUCACCGAUGUUGACUAGUCUGUCUCACUUGAUGAUCGGACACGGCCUAGUUGACUCGGAUCAUGUAAUCACUUAGAUGACUAGAGGGAUGUCUAUCUGAGUGGGAGUUCAUAAGAUGAACUUGUUUAUCCUGAACAUAGUCAAAAGGUCUUCGCAAAUUAUGUCGUAGCUCGCGAUUCAGUUCUACUAUUUAGUUAUGUUCCUAGAGAAAAUUUAGUUGAAAGUUGGUAGUAGCAAUUAUGCGGACUAGGUCCGUAAACUGAGGAUUGUCCUCAUUGCUUCAUAGAAGGCUUAUGUCCUUAAUGCACCGCUCAGUGUGCUGAACCUCGAACGUCGUCUGUGGAUGUUGCGAACAUCUGACAUACACAUUUUGAUAACUACGUGAUAGUUCAGUUAAACGGUUUAGAAUUAAGGCACCGUAGACGUUUUGAAACGUCGCGAAACAUAUGAGAUGUUUCGAGGGCUGAAAUUGGGAUUUCAGGCUCGUGCCCACGUCAAGAGGUAUAAGACCUCCGACGAUUUUCUUAGCCUGCAAACUAAGGGAGAAAAGCUCAAUUGUUGAACUUGUGCUCAGAUUGUCCGAGUACAACAAUCGCUUGAAUCGAGUGGAAGUUGAUCUUCCAGAUGAAAUAGUGAUGGUUCUCCGAAGUCAUUACCACCAAGCUGCUAGAGCUUCGUGAUGAACUAUAAUGUAUCGGGGACAUAUAUGAUGAUCCUUGAGAUAUUCGCGAUGUUUGACACCACAAAAGUAGAAAUCAAAAAAAAGGAGCAUCAAUUGUUGAUGGUUUGUGAAACCACUAGUUUCAAGGAGUGCAAGGGAAAAAAGGGAUGCUUCAUGAAACGGCAAAUCAGCUGCUGCUCUAGUGAAGAAACCCAAGGUUGAACCCAAACCCGAGACUAAGUGCUUCUGUAAUAAGGGGAACAACCACUGGAGCAGAAUUACCCUAGAUACUUGGUAGAUGAGAAGGCUGUCAAUAGAAGUAUAUUGGAUAUACAUUAUGUUCAUGUGUACUUUACUAGUACUCCCAGUAGCACCAGGGUAUUAGAUACCGGUUCGGUUGCUAAGUGUUAGUAACUCGAAAUAAAAGCUACGGAAUAAACGGAGACUAGCUAAAGGUGAGCUGACGAUAUGUGUUGGAAGUGUUUCCAAUGUUGAUAUGAUCAAGCAUCGCACGCUCCCUCUACCAUCGAGAUUGGUGUUUGCGUUGAGCAUAGACAUGGUUGGAUUAUGUCUAUCGCAAUACCGUUAUUCAUUUAAGGAGAAUAAUGGUUACUCUGUUUAUUUGAAUAAUACCUUCAAUGGUCUUACACCUAAAAUGAAUGGUUUAUUGAAUCUCGAUCGUAGUGAUACACAUGUUCAUGCCAAAAGAUAGUAAUGAUAGUACCACCUACUUGUGGCACUGCCACGUAAGUCAUAUCGGUGUAAAACGCAUGAAGAAGCUCCAUGUUGAUGGAUCUUUGGGCUCACUCGUUUUGAAAAGUUUGAGACAUGCGAACCAUGUCUAUUGGUGUAUAUGCAUGGAGAAACUCCAUGCAAAUGGACCGUUUGGACUCACUUGAUUUUGAAUCACUUGAGACAUGCAAAUCAUACCACAUGGGCAAGAUGACUGAAAGCCUCGGUUUCAGUAAAAUGGAACUAGAAAGCAACUUGUUGGAAGUAAUACAUUUUGAUGUGUGCAAUCCAAUGAGUGCUGAGGCAUGUAGUGGAUAUCGUUAUGUUCUUACUUCACAGAUGAUUUGAGUAGAUGUUGAGUAUAUUUACUUGAUGAAUCACGAGUUUGAAUUAUUGAAAGGUUCAAGUAAUUUCAGGGUGAAGUUGAAAGAUCGUCGUGACAAGAGGAUAAAAUAUCUAUGAUAUGAUCAUAGAGAUGAAAAUCUGAAUUACGAGUUUGGCACAGAAUUAAGACAUUGUGGAAAUUGUUUCACAACUAAUACAGCCUGGAACACCAUAGUGUGAUGGUGUGUCCGAACAUCAUAACUGCACCCUAUUGGAUAUGAUGCAUACCAUGAUGUCUCUUAUUGAAUUACCACGAUAGUUUAUGGGUUAGGCAUUAGAGACAACCACAUUCACUUUAAAUAGGGCACCACGUAAUUCCGAUGAGAUGACACCAUAUGAACUAUGGUUUAGAGAAAUCUAAGCUGUCAUUUCUUAGAAGUUUGGGGCUGCGACGCUUAUGUGAAAAAGUUUCAGGCUGAUAAGCUCGAACCCAAAGCGGAUAAAUGCAUCUUCAUAGGACACCCAAAACAGUUGGGUACACCUCCUGUCUCAGAUCUGAAAGCAAUAAGGGAUUGUUUCUAGAAUCGGGUCCUUUCUCGAGGAAAAGUUUCUCUCUAAAGAAUUGAGUGGGAGGAUGGUGGAGACUUGAUGAGGUUAUUGAACCAUCUCUUCAACUAGCGUGUGGCAGGGCACAGGGAGUUGUUCCUGUGGCACCUACACCAAUUGAAGUGGAAGCUUAUGAUAGUGAUCAUGAAACUUCAGAUCAAGUCACUACCAAACCUCGUGGGAUGACAAGGAUGCGUACUACUUUAGACUGGUAAGUAAUCCUGUCUUGGAAGUCAUGUUGCUAGACAACAAUGAACCUACGAGCUAUGGAGAAGCGAUGGUGGGCCUGGAUUCCGAUAAAUGGCUCGAGGCCAUAAAAUCCGAGAUAUGAUCCAUGUAUGAAAACAAAGUGUAGACUUUGGAAGAACUACUUGAUGGUCGUAAGGCUGUUAGGUACAUAUGGAUUUUAAAAGGAAGACGGACAAUGAUGGUAAGUAUCACCAUUAAGAAAGCUCGACUUGUCGUUAAGAUGUUUUUCGACAAGUUCAAGGAGUUGACUGCGAUGAGACUUUCUCACUCGUAGCGAUGCUAAGAGUCUGUUGGAAUUAUAUUAGCAAUUACUGCAUUAUUUGUGAAAUCUUGCAGAUAGGAUGCCAAAAAACCAUUGUUUCCUCGACGAUUUUUGAGGAAAGGUUGUAUGUGAUACAACCGGAAGGUUUUGUCAAUCCUGAAAGAUGCUAAUAAGUAUGCAAAGCUCCAGCAAUCCCUCUGAGGACUGGAGUAAGCAUCUCGGAGUUGGAAUGUAUGCUUUGAUGAGAUGAUCAAAGAUUUUGGGUGUAUACAAAGUUUAUGAGAAACUUGUAUUUCCAAAGAAGUGAGUGGGAGCACUAUAGAAUUUCUGAUAAAUAUAGGUUGUUGACAUAUUGUUGAUCAGAAAUGACGUAGAAUUUCUGGAAAGCAUAUAGGGUUAUUUGGAAAGUGUUUUUCAAUGGAAAGCCUGGAUUAAGCUACUUGAACAUUGAGCAUCAAGAUCUAUAAGGAUAGAUCAAAACGCUUAAUGGUACUUUCAAAUGAGCACAUACCUUGACAUGAUCUUGAAGGUGUUCAAGAUGGAUCAGUCAAAGAAGGAGUUCUUGCCUGAGUUGUAAGGUAUGAAGUUAAGACUUAAAGCUCGACCACGGCAGAAGAAAGAGGAAGGACGAAGGUCGUCCCCUAUGCUUUUAUCAUAGGCUCUCUACAGUAUGCUAUGCUGUGUACCACACCUGAAGUGUGCCUUGCCAUGAGUCAGUCAAGGGGUACAAGAGUGAUCCAAGAAUGGAUCACAGGACAGCGGUCAAAGUUAUCCUUAGUAACUAGUGGACUAAGGAAUUUUCUCGAUUAUGGAGGUGGUAAAACAGUUCGUCGUAAAUGGUUAUGCCGAUGCAAACUUUGACACUAUCCAGAUUAUUCUGAGUAGUAAACUGGAUUCGUAUAGUAGAACAGUUGUUUGGAAUAGCUCCAAAUGUAGCGUAGUAGUUGCAUCUACAAGAUGACAUAGAAAUUUGCGAAGUACAUACGGAUCUGAAUGUUGCAGACCCGUUGACUAAAACCUCUCUCACAAGCAAAACAUGAUCAAACCCAGAACUCAUUGAGUCUUAAUCACAUGAUGAUGUGAACUAGUUUAGUGACACUAGUAAACUCUUUGGAUGUUGGUCACAUGGCGAUGUGACCUGUGAGUGUUAAUCACAUGACGAUGUGAACUAGAUUAUUGACUCUAGUGCAAGUGGGAGACUAUUGGAAAUAUGCCCUAGAGGCAAUAAUAAAUGGAUUAUUAUUAUAUUUCCUUGUUCAUGAUAAUCGUUUAUUAUCCAUUGUAUAAUUGUAUUGAUAGGAAACUCAGAUACAUGUGUGGAUACAUAGACAACACCAUGUCCCUAGUAAGCCUCUAGUUGACUAGCUCGUUGAUCAAUAGAUGGUAACGGUUUCCUGACCAUGGACAUUGGAUGUCAUUGAUAACGGGAUCACAUCAUUAGGAGAAUGAUGUGAUGGACAAGACCCAAUCCUAAGCCUAGCACAAGAUCAUGUAGUUCGUAUGCUAAAGCUUUUCUAAUGUCAAGCAUCAUUUCCUUAGACCAUGAGAUUGUGCAACUCCCGGAUACCGUAGGAGUACUUUGGGUGUGCCAAACGUCACAACGUAACUGGGUGGCUAUAAAGGUACACUACGGGUAUCUCCGAAAGUGUCUGUUGGGUUGGCACGAAUCGAGACUGGGAUUUGUCACUCCGUGUGACGGAGAGGUAUCUCUGGGCCCACUAGGUAGGACAUCAUCAUAAUGUGCACAAUGUGAUCAAGGAGUUGAUCACGGGAUGAUGUGUUACGGAACGAGUAAAAGAGACUUGCCGGUAACGAGAUUGAACAAGGUAUCGGGAUACCGACGAUCGAAUCUCGGACAAGUAUCGUACUGCUAGACAAAGGGAAUUGUAUACGGGAUUGAUUAAGUCCUUGACAUCAUGGUUCAUCCGAUGAGAUCAUCGUGGAACAUGUGGGAGCCAACAUGGGUAUCCAGAUCCCGCUGUUGGUUAUUGGCCGGAGAGUCGUCUCGGUCAUGUCUACGUGUCUCCCGAACCCGUAGGGUCUACACACUUAAGGUUCGGUGACGCUAGGGUUAUAGAGAUAUUAGUAUGCGGUAACCCAAAAGUUGUUCGGAGUCCCGGAUGAGAUCCCGGACGUCACGAGGAGUUCCGGAAUGGUCCGGAGGUAAAGAAUUAUAUAUAGGAAGUGCUAUUUCGGCUAUCGGGACAAGUUUCGGGGUCACCGGUAUUGUACCGGGACCACCGGAAGGGUCCCGGGGGUCCACCGGGUGGGGCCACCUGCCCCGGGGGGCCACAUGGGCUGUAGGGGGUGCGCCUUGGCCUAUAUGGGCCAAGGUCACCAGCCCCUAGAGGCCCAUGCGCCAAAGGGACAAGAGGAGGGGAGAGUCCUAAAGGGGGAAGGCACCUCUGAGGUGCCUUGGGGAGGCUGGACUCCUCCCCCCCUUGGCCGCACCCUUCCUUGGAGGAAGGGGCAAGGCUGCGCCCUCCCCCUCUCCCUUGGCCCUAUAUAUAGUGGGGGAAGGGAGGGCAACCAAACCUAAGCCCUGGCGCCUCCCUCUCCCUCCCAUGACACAUCUCCCUCCUCCCACAGCGCUUGGCGAAGCCCUGUUGGAAUCCCGCUACUUCCACCAUCACGCCGUCGUGCUGUUGGAUCUCCAUCAACCUCUCCUCCCCCCUUGCUGGAUCAAGAAGGAGGAGACGUCGCUGCUCCGUACGUGUGUUGAACGCGGAGGUGCCGUCCGUUCGGCGCUAGGAUCAUCGGUGAUUUGGAUCACGACGAGCACGACUCCAUCAACCCCGUUCUCUUGAACGCUUCCGCGCGCGAUCUACAAGGGUAUGUAGAUCCACUUCUCCCUCGUUGCUAGAUGACUCCAUAGAUUGAUCUUGGUGACACGUAGGAAAAUUUUGAAUUAUUGCUACGUUACCCAACAGGUGUGUUAUGCUACAUACUAUUAUUCAAAGAUGUGUUGGCAUCCUAUGAUGUUUGAGUAGAUUCGUUUUCCCUAUGGGUUAAUUGGUGAUCAUGAUUGAUUUGGGUUGUAUGUUUUAUUUUGGUGUUGUCCUAUGGUGCCCUCCAUUCCGUGCAAACGUGUGGGAUUCCUGUUGUAGGAUGUUGCAAUAUGUUCAUAAUUUGCUUACUAUCAGGGUUGCAUGAGCGAUAGAAGCACAAACUCGGGUAAGUGGGUUUUGCAUAUGGGACGUAAGAGGACUUUAUACUUAAUGCCAUGGUUGGAUUUUAUCUUAAUGAUCUUUAGUAGUUGCAAAUGCUUGCUAGAGUUUCGAUCAUAAGUGCAUGUGAUCCUAGUAUGGAAAAGUAUGUUGGCUUUUGCCUCUUCCUUAUAUAAAAUUACAAUAAUGAUUACCGAUCUAGUUAUCAAUUAUCUAGGGACAAAUCAUUCUCAUUGUUUUCAAAAGCUCUCUCUACUAAAAAUAAUUAACCUUUUAUUAUUCUCGCAAAGUACCUCUAGUUUUAUUCUUGUUCAAAGCAAACGUUAGUGUGCGUAGAGUUGUAUUAGUGGUCAAUAAAACUUGAAGAGAAUAUAAAUUCUACCUUUAGCUCCUCGUUGAGUUCGACACUUACUUCUGCCUGUUUUGAGUGUUCUGUAAAUGGGCAGCAGUUCUGCGUGGUAAUACCGCUCCAGCGGUACUACGGGCCUAGCUGUCACCCUACUACCGCGGGUUUACUGGGCAUUCUCAUGCUAAGCGGAAGUACCGCUCCUCACCGCGGUAGUAUCGCUCUGGCGGAACUUCUGUUGGCUUCUGCCACGUGAAGUACCGCUUUUUUACUACAUUUUGGACUGGUUUUGUCCCGUGGGUGAAAGUAGAGCGGCAGUUCCUGGCGAUAGUACCGCCUCGGGCGGCACUGCCGCACUGCCCCCCUCUACUACCCGUUGAUUCCAGUUGUUGCUCAUCACCAAGCGGAAGUACCGUUGGUGGGAGUGGGAGUACCGCUCUGGCGGAACUGCCGCCUCCCUGGCUUGCUCAUUUGUACGCAGCGACUAGAACUUCCGUGCCAACGGAAGUACCGCUCCCUUGAGCGGUACUACCGCUUGUUUAUGGGCUGUGGGUGCAUAAUAGUUGGAUUUCAUCCCCCACUAUAUAAAGGCUUGUUCGGUUGACAGGGAAAAUGGAGGGCUUUGGCAGGGAUUGCACCCUCUACAAGUCAAAAUCCCCUCCAAUCCACCCCCAAUCCCCUUGUGAGGGGGUGUAACCGAACUUAGCCUAAGGGAGUCAUCUUCCUCAAGAUGACUUACCUCUUACUCCCCCAAGCUCCAUUGUUGCUCACAAGAUCAUUCUUGCCCGAUCUUUCUCCCUAGCCAACCACACUUGUUGAUUCUUUAGAGAUUGCUUGAGAAGGUCUAGAUCUACACUUUCACCAAGAGAAAUUUGAUUCCCCCACUAAUCCCUUGCGGAUCUUAUUACUCUCGGGUGUUUGAGCACCCUAGGCGGUUGAGGUCACCUCGGAGCCACAUUCCAUUGUGUUGAAGCUUCGUGGUGGUGUUGGGAGCCUUCAAUUCGGGUUUGGAGAGAGCAUCAACCUUGUUUGUAAAGGUCCGGUCGCCGCCUUCAAGGGCAUCACUAGUGGAAUCACGGCAUUUCGUAUUUGUGUGAGGGAAUGAGGAGAAUAUGGUGGCCCUAGUGGCUUCUUGGGGAGCAUUGUGCCUCCACACCGCUCCAACAGGGACAUACUUCCUCUUAAAGGGAAGGAACUUCGGUAACACAUCGUCGUCUCCCCCAACUCCACUUAUGAUUAUCUCUUACCUUUACUUUGUGCAAGCUUUAUUUGUGUUGUUUAUCUUGCUUGCUUUUAUUGUUCUCAUUGCUAGCAUCAUAUAGGUUGCUCGCCUAGUUGCACAUCUAGACAACCUAUUUGUUGCUAACCCUAAUUUGUUAAGAAAAGCUAAAAAUUGGUAGUUGCCUAUUCAUCCCCCUUUAGUCAAUCAUAUCGAUCAUUUCACUAGGUAAAUAGUACCCCUGAUGGGGUCCCCCCUAGACUUUGGGGGCCCGGGGCGGCCGCUCCCUACCCCCAUUCAGGGCAGGCCCUGCUGGCACAAUAAAAUUCCACUCGAUAUGAUCAAUAGCAAGGCCAAUUUUAAGCAUGAAAGUUGGAGUAUUUCAAGACGUGAGGGUGAAGUAAUGUGUGAUCUCUUGGGCAAUGAUAAUGUUAUUAGGAAUUUUCCUGCCUUACUGAGAGUGGUCAAUGUAAUCAGUAAGGUGGGGUUUAAGUCUCUUCCCCAAUCGCCGACCACAUCGCCUCCCACACGUCCCGUGUACCGCUCCAUGUCGGAAUGUGUUGAUGCUCCCUCUUGGACCGACAUGAGGAGUGAUUUUUCUUCUAUCCUUGGAUUACAUGUGUGUAGAAAUUAUACGAAAUGACUGCAUGAUAAUAACAUUAUUUCUGCAUUUCCUUGCGUUCACAGAUUAGAUGACAAUUAGCAGUGGAAUAGACAAUUCAUCCCCAGUCAGUUGUUGGCACUCAUAUGCUCCACGUACCCCACCAGCCACCAGGGCUCACUCUGCCCAAACUAUCCCGCCGCCGCCGGCGCGGCAAGGCGCGCGAGUGCGGUACAACCACCCUGCUGGUGCGGCCCCGUUACGUCCAACACCUCCAACUCAAACGGCCCCCACUUUGCCGUCUCUUCCACGUUCCACCUUAUAAAAAAACUCUAAAAAACCUUAUAAUAAUAAUAUCCGCCUACCUGUCGUGUCCAGCACACCAUACAGGUCCACGCCCGCCCGCCCGCCCGCCCAUAGAGCUCGCCGCCUCCCUCCUUCCCUCCCUGUCUCCUUCCCCGCCUCUCUCUCGUCGUCGUCCCCCGCAGCGCCGGCCGAAGCAAAGCACGGGGACUCAACCGCCGCCAUGAGCUACUACGGCCAGCAGCAGCCCCCCGUCGGCGUGCCUCCACAGCAAGGUCCGCCCCGUUCGCCUCAAGUCAAGAUCCAUCCCCUCAAUUUCCUCCUUUCACAUCUCGUAUACAAUCCUGUUGUUUUUGCUCAGGGUAUCCAGGGAAAGAAGAGUACCCGCCGGCAGGCUACCCUCCGGCCGGGUACCCACCGCCGGGGCAGGGACAGGGCUACCCUCCCCAGGGAUACCCGCCGCAGCAGGGGGGUUAUCCGCCACAGCAGGGUGGGUAUCCGCCGCAGCAAGGCUACCCGCAGCAAGGGUACCCACAGCAGGGGGACCCGCCUCAGUACGCGCAGCAGCCGCCGCGGCAGCAGCAGAGCAGCGGCCCGUCCUUCAUGGAGGGAUGGUAAGACAAGACUGAGCCCACCUCCUUACUUCUCUCAGAUUCCCUCGGCUUGGUCCUAGCAUCGCGUUAGAUCUCUGAACUGAAGCCAGAUUGGGCUCGCCGUCGCCGGUGGGUCGUCGGGGUCGUGGUGGACGUUGGGGGGUCGGCGUUUUGUGUGGCCCGGGGUGGGUUGGGUUUGUUGGUGGGUGACGUCGGCCCCGCAUCCCUCCACUCGUGACUCGUCGUUACUGCCGUUCUGAUGUGUCUGUCACUAGGAGUGGUUGCCUCAGCUGUCAAAAAAAAGGAGUGGUUGCCUCAGCGAACCUCGUAGCUGUCUGUCACGCUAGGUCUUCUGGCGCGGAAAGAUAUUUGUGAUUUGUGAACAAUAUAAACUAGAUAUAUACUCCUCCGGCCCAUAAUGUAAGACGUUAAACGUCUUACAUUUACACUAGUGUCAAAGAACGUCUUACAUUAUGAGACGGAGGGAGUACUUUUUUAUGAAACUAUAAGUUAGAUAUACUAGUAGUACAUGUUUAUUAAAAUGACACCAGCUGAAGGGCGGCAUUUUCUGAAAACUUUUCAUAUUUCCAGAGCAAUUCAUCCAAAACUUAGUUUUCUUUGCGGGGUUAUCCAAAACUUAGUUACUGUCGAAUUCAGAGCAUAGUUGGACGUGUUGCAUUUCAUUCUUCUCUUGUUCCGAGCAUACAAUGAUGUAAGACAUUUCUUGACACUACAUCAGAGUCAAAAAACGUGUUACAUUAUGAUAGGACCGAGGGAGUACUAUAUAUGGAACUUGUAGCAUAUACGAGUAUUAUGUGUAACGACACCAGCUAGCUGACAUACAUUUUUGCUUUCCCUUUGUGUUUUGACAGCUUGGCCGCCCUUUGUUGCUGCUGUCUGUUGGAUGCUUGCUUCUAAGUUGAAUUCUAAGCGACAGGGAAGAGAUUUGGUGCAGCUGCUAUGUGCUCCAUAUUGGAAAUUGGGAUUGGCUUGUUGAUUAAUAGUAGUACUACUUCUUAGAGGAGAUUACAAGAACUCCUUACCGUCAUGUUUGUAUGUUCAGAUGAUUGGUGUACCUUUUCGCAUUAAAAAAGAUGUUUGUUGUAAUGCCUAGUGAACAUGAAAAACCAAACUGAAAGCUCAAGCCAAUACACAAUACAUUGAAAGAAAAGACUGAUCCACAACCAUACUUCUAAUAACUUGGAAAUUCAGCAGGGUUUCAACACAACAUAACAAACUUGGUAAUCCAGCAGGAGUUCAAGAAAUUAAAAACUUGGAGAUUCGUCAGAGACGACGAUAGUACCAGUACGACAUUGCCACUCGACAGAUUACUUCUGCACACCAUUGCAGCAGCACACACAGAUAGCAAAGAAAACUGAGGAGGCGAUAAAGCAUCGCUCCAGGCCGAACUGAACGCCGUCUCACUCAGUGGCGACCAGCGGCCUGUUUCUGCGGUCUGAUCCAGUCCUGCAGCACCAAGGUGACCCUGUCGUGCUGCUUCACGGAGGAACCGUGCAGGAGCGGGGAGGCGCGGGCGAGGACGCUGCUGUAGUGGACGUACUCCUUCUGCCGGAACCUCUCCUGUUCGGAAAGCGUCAUCUCGUCCCACUCAGCGUGCAGCUUCUCCGACAGGCUCCAGUCGAUGUUGUACCUGGUGGCGCCGAAGCACGUCUGCCUCAGGACCCGCCUCGCAAGGGUCUGCAGGUCGGGCACGCGAGCCCCAUGCUUCGACCACCAUUUAACU
rnacentral:lncRNA from 1 species